GGGUUGUGAGGUUAAGCGACUAAGCGUACACGGUGGAUGCCCUGGCAGUCAGAGGCGAUGAAGGGCGUGCUAAUCUGCGAUAAGCGCCGGUAAGGUGAUAUGAACCGUUAUAACCGGCGAUACCCGAAUGGGGAAACCCAGUGUGAUUCGUCACACUAUCAUUAACUGAAUCCAUAGGUUAAUGAGGCGAACCGGGGGAACUGAAACAUCUAAGUACCCCGAGGAAAAGAAAUCAACCGAGAUUCCCCCAGUAGCGGCGAGCGAACGGGGAGGAGCCCAGAGCCUGAAUCAGCAUGUGUGUUAGUGGAAGCGUCUGGAAAGGCGCGCGAUACAGGGUGACAGCCCCGUACACAAAAGCGCAUGUGCUGUGAGCUCGAUGAGUAGGGCGGGACACGUGGUAUCCUGUCUGAAUAUGGGGGGACCAUCCUCCAAGGCUAAAUACUCCUGACUGACCGAUAGUGAACCAGUACCGUGAGGGAAAGGCGAAAAGAACCCCGGCGAGGGGAGUGAAAAAGAACCUGAAACCGUGUACGUACAAGCAGUGGGAGCACCCUUCGGGGUGUGACUGCGUACCUUUUGUAUAAUGGGUCAGCGACUUAUAUUCUGUAGCAAGGUUAACCGUAUAGGGGAGCCGGAGGGAAACCGAGUCUUAAUUGGGCGUUAAGUUGCAGGGUAUAGACCCGAAACCCGGUGAUCUAGCCAUGGGCAGGUUGAAGGUUGGGUAACACUAACUGGAGGACCGAACCGACUAAUGUUGAAAAAUUAGCGGAUGACCUGUGGCUGGGGGUGAAAGGCCAAUCAAACCGGGAGAUAGCUGGUUCUCCCCGAAAGCUAUUUAGGUAGCGCCUCGUGAAUUCAUCUCCGGGGGUAGAGCACUGUUUCGGCUAGGGGGCCAUCCCGGCUUACCAACCCGAUGCAAACUGCGAAUACCGGAGAAUGUUAUCACGGGAGACACACGGCGGGUGCUAACGUCCGUCGUGAAGAGGGAAACAACCCAGACCGCCAGCUAAGGUCCCAAAGUCAUGGUUAAGUGGGAAACGAUGUGGGAAGGCCCAGACAGCCAGGAUGUUGGCUUAGAAGCAGCCAUCAUUUAAAGAAAGCGUAAUAGCUCACUGGUCGAGUCGGCCUGCGCGGAAGAUGUAACGGGGCUAAACCAUGCACCGAAGCUGCGGCAGCGAACGUAUCACCCAAGACAACUUUACGGAGUUGACGAUUGACGGAGCGAAGCGACGUCAAAGCGUUCAUUAAAGUCGAGUUGGCUUAGGGAUACGUUCGUUGGGUAGGGGAGCGUUCUGUAAGCCUGUGAAGGUGUGUCGUGAGGCAUGCUGGAGGUAUCAGAAGUGCGAAUGCUGACAUAAGUAACGAUAAAGCGGGUGAAAAGCCCGCUCGCCGGAAGACCAAGGGUUCCUGUCCAACGUUAAUCGGGGCAGGGUGAGUCGACCCCUAAGGCGAGGCCGAAAGGCGUAGUCGAUGGGAAACGGGUUAAUAUUCCCGUACUUGGUGUUACUGCGAAGGGGGGACGGAGAAGGCUAUGUUGGCCGGGCGACGGUUGUCCCGGUUUAAGCGUGUAGGUGUGUGUUCCAGGUAAAUCCGGUU
rnacentral:rRNA from 2 species